rnacentral:tRNA from 1 species
CCCCCAAUAGCCCAACUGGCAGAGGCAGCUGACUUAAAAUCAGCAAAGUCUGGGUUCGAAUCCCAGUUGGGGGA